rnacentral:rRNA from 1 species
UCUUGGUCAUUUAGAGGAAGUAAAAGUCGUAACAAGGUCUCCGUAGGUGAACCUGCGGAGGGAUCAUUACAAGUGACCCCGGCUACGGCCGGGAUGUUCAUAACCCUUUGUUGUCCGACUCUGUUGCCUCCGGGGCGACCCUGCCUUCGGGCGGGGGCUCCGGGUGGACACUUCAAACUCUUGCGUAACUUUGCAGUCUGAGUAAACUUAAUUAAUAAAUUAAAACUUUUAACAACGGAUCUCUUGGUUCUGGCAUCGAUGAAGAACGCAGCGAAAUGCGAUAAGUAAUGUGAAUUGCAGAAUUCAGUGAAUCAUCGAAUCUUUGAACGCACAUUGCGCCCCCUGGUAUUCCGGGGGGCAUGCCUGUUCGAGCGUCAUUUCACCACUCAAGCCUCGCUUGGUAUUGGGCAACGCGGUCCGCCGCGUGCCUCAAAUCGUCCGGCUGGGUCUUCUGUCCCCUAAGCGUUGUGGAAACUAUUCGCUAAAGGGUGUUCGGGAGGCUACGCCGUAAAACAACCCCAUUUCUAAGGUUGACCUCGGAUCAGGUAGGGAUACCCGCUGAACUUAAGCAUAUCAAUAAGCGGAGGA